rnacentral:rRNA from 1 species
UACGGAGGGUGCAAGCGUUGUCCGGAAUCACUGGGCGUAAAGGGCGCGUAGGCGGCUCAUGAAGGCUGUGGUGAAAGUCCGGGGCUCAACCUCGGAUCGGCCGUGGCGACUCGUGGGCUGGAGCACUGUAGAGGCGGGUGGAAUUCCGGGUGUAGCGGUGGAAUGCGUAGAGAUCCGGAAGAACACCAGUGGCGAAGGCGGCCCGCUGGGCAGUGGCUGACGCUGAGGCGCGACAGCGUGGGAGCAAAC